AAUAUAAAAAGUUGAGUGGGUCAGGCUUGGGAGCCUGGUAAGCAUAUAGGGUUUUCAACCCACAAUAAUAAUAAAUCUAUUAGAUUCAUCAUUCAACAAUAACCCUGAUUACUCAUUCCCCUUAUCUUCACUUUACGUCCCGAAAUACCUAUCACAAGGGACCUAGCCUAAGGAAUAUCAUCAGGAUGGACACUACUGCUAAGGGGACUCCUCAGCCAUACAUGUCCUAAAGGUAACCAUGAAGGGGGAUGGAGUACACCAAUGAACAUAUAGUUCACCAACACCUACAAGUUGCAAACAUGCUAGUGUUCCACUGGACUGUCUAGAAAGGUUUGUGGUCGUCAUCUAUACUCUGCUAGAUGACUACAACAACAACAACAUCGAGGCCUCUCAUCAUUUUAACACACAUUGACUAUUUCGUCUACCCAUGUUUUACCCAACAUAUUUGUAGAUAAAAUACAUAUACAGUAUAAAACAUGUAUAAACAUCUAUUCAAGAGUCACCUCAAAUAAAUAAUUAAUAUAAUUACACAUAGCACGUAUUUUAUAGAAAAUACUUCAUAUCUAUGUGUAAGAUGAAAGUGACUACACACUCACAUGGUUUAAUGAUAAUCGGGCAGCACUUCUUUUCCUAAAACGAUCGUUUCUAAUAAAACCGGAAGUUUUAUUGAGAAACCGGGCUCUUCGAGGGUUGGGCUUCAAAACCAAAAAGAUAAAUUUUUCUGGGUCUUCGGGCACUUCGGAAUGUAUUUUGGGUGUUUGGUAUAAUAUCGGGGCUUUGGGGGAAGUUGGAAUGGAAGAAAUAUUGUUUAAGGGGUGAAAAUGACACUUUUCGAAAAUAUACCCGAGAGAUCUCGCACCCUUCUAUUUAUAGGGGCGAGGCUUUUGAUCUGAGGGCUGAUAAGCGAACAGGGGUCAACAGAUGCGAGGGUCGGGUGGCACACACGUGCGAGGCUCCAGCUGUUGGCUUCUGAUUGGACCGAGGUCUAGGUCUGAGGGGUGCAAGGUGUCGCACCUGCGAAGCUCGGACACGUCAGGAAGGCACGCAUCGGACGAAGGCGAGGCAGCUUUGGAUGCGAGGAGUCACCAGGAACGCGUCCUGCUUCGGUUGGGCCUCCCUUUGGUCGAAUCAACAACGACCAUGUGGCAUGCAUGUGAAAAUCCAGGUGACGUGGCCGAAGUCUGUCCAUGCGAAAUUCCUCGGAUUUCGUGUUUUUUUCUUGAUUUUUGAGCCAAAACUUCUAAAAUUCAUAACUUUUACAUACGGCCUCCGCUUUUGAUGUUCUUUAUAUGCACGCGUAGGUAAAAUUACGCUCUGCAACUUUCGUUUAGACUUCGUCAGCUAAUUUUGACUUUAAUUUAAAUAUUAUUAUUUUUAGCAGACCGGGACAGAAAAUCCGUUAAAAAUUCAUAACUUCUUCAUUCGAUGUCCGUUUUCAUCUGCCUUUUUAAGGUUGUAUUACUAUUGACGAGACCUUCGAUUCUCAUUUAGGUUGUGUCGGCUAAAAAUCACUCGAUCUAAAAUUCGAGUUUUUAGUUGUUUACUGCUAAGCUGAAAUUUAGAAAAAUCAUAACUUCUUCAUACGAAGUCAGAUUUGGACGUUCUUUUGAUACAUAAUCUCGGUUUAACGAACACUACGACUUUCAUUUAGAUCACCAAGGCUAAAAAGUAGUUUAUCAAAAACUCACUUUUUACGUCAUUCGGCGUCGUGUCGGUUUUGUCGCGGAACUUCGACAGGUCAUAACUUCUUCGUUAUAACUCGGAUUUCGGUAUUCUUUAUAUAUUUGGAAUCCUUGUUGCGAACACUACAACUUUCUUAAUAGAUAUUGGCUUUUUUAAUAUUUAUUUUUGAUGCUUAUUUUUAUUCUUAAUUAAUUAAUUCCUAAUAAUUAAGCAUAAAACACAUCAUUCACAUAAUAAUCACAUAAUUCCCUUUUCAUUUCUUCAAAAUAAGUUACAAAGGUUGACCUAGACUAUUACAUCAUCAUUAAUUUCUAUCAUGGAACCACGGGCGUUACAAUUCUCUCCCAUUUAGGAUGAUUCCAUCCCCGGAAUCACGCAUCUGCAAACAAAUGCGGGUAGCGACUCAUCAUGUCACUUUCCGUUUCCAAGGUGAGAUUUGGGUCAUUCGUAUGUUUCCAUCGCACAAGCACUAAAUUGGCCAUCUUGCGUCGCAACUUCUUAGUCUUACAGUCAAUGAUUGUCUUUGGUUCUUCAAUUAACCUCUUGUUUCAUCCAACCUUAAUUCAGAAAUUAGAAUUAUGCCAGGCACAUCUCCCGUGAAUUUUCUCAAAUAACACACAUGAAAGGUGUUAUGAAUACCCUCUAUUUCUUCUGGUAAUUCUAGCUUGUAAGCUUGAUUCCCGGUCCUCUGAAGAACUUUAAACAGUCCAAUAAACUUUGGACUCAACUUUCCCCUUUUACCAAAUCUUAUAAGUCCCUUCCACGGCGAGACUUUAAGUAAAACCGAAUCUCCAACUUCAAAUGAUAUUGGUUGUCUUUUCUUGUCAGCAUAGCGCUUUUGUCGAUCUUGAGCUGCUAACAUCCUUUCCCUAAUAAUUUCAACUUUUCAGCAGUCUGAUGGACUAUUUCAGAUCCCAUAAACUGCUUUUCCCCAGCUUUCAGCCAACAUGACAGCGUUCGACACUUUUCUCCAUACAAAGCUUGAUAAGGUGCCAUCUUGAUGCUCGAGUGGAAACUAUUAUUAUAGGAAAAUUCUACUAGAGGUAAGUGUUCAUCCCAGUUACCUUGGAAUUCCAGGGCACAUGCUCUCAGCAUAUCCUCCAACGUUUGAAUUGUUCGUUCGCUCUCACCAUCGGUUUUCGGAUGGUAAGUUGUACUUAAACACAACUUGGUACCCAAUUCCUCUUGUAGACUCUUCCAAAAUCUUGAGGUAAAACGGUUGUCACGAUCUGAUACAAUCGUUAACGGAACACCAUGAAGCCUUACAAUUGUCGUCACGUACAAAUUCGCAAGCUUAUACAUAGAUCAUUUCUCGUUGGCUGCUAUGAAAUGCGUACUCUUAGUGAAGCGAUCAACGACUACCCAAAUCAUGUCAUGACUGUCCCUUUGUUCUGGGCAGUUUAGUCACGAAAUCCAUGGUGAUAUCUUCCCAUUUACCCAUAGGUACAGGUAAAAGUUCUAAACUCCCAUAUAGUUUCUGAUGUUGUGCCUUAACCCUAGCACAUAUCACACACUCGGCCACAUACUUAGCAACAUCGAGCUUCAUCGUCGACCGCCAGUAGUAGGGUUUUAGAUCCCUAUACAUUUUUGUGCUGUCGGGAUGAAUCGAGUACAUGGUCUUGUGAGCUUCUUCCAUCAGAAGAUCUCUUACUCCUCCCGUCUUAGGUACCCAAAUCCUAUCUUGGAAUACCUUCAGUCCUUGACCGUUUUUAUCAAACACUAACAUUUUGCCCAAACGUUCUUCCUUUCGGUCAUUUUUCUCUAAAUCUUCCUCUUGAGCUUUCUUUAUACUUUCCAAAGUUGUAGAGACAACUUCAAUUCCCAACGCUCUUGGCCUUUUCUUUUCAAGGUUUACCUUCUGACUGAGAGCAUCAGCAACAACAUUUGCUUUACCAGGGUGGUAAAGUAUCUCACUGUCAUAGUCCUUGAGUAACUCUAGCCAGUGUCGUUGCCUCAUGUUCAAUUCCUUCUGAUUAAAGAGAUAUUGAAGACUCUUAUGAUCAGUGAAAAGUUUGCAUUUAGUACCAUAAAGAUAGUGCCCCCAUAUCUUUAAGGCGAAUACUACCGCUGCCAACUCCAGAUCAUGAGUGGGGUAGUUCUUUUCAUGCUCUUUCAAUUGUCUCGAUGCAUACGCUAUCAGUUUAUCCCUUUGGGUCAAAACACAACCUAACCCAACUCCAGAUGCAUCGCCAUAAACUGCGAAGUCAUCAACUCCUUCAGUCAAGGAAAGAAUCGGUGCUUCACACAAUUUCUUCUUUAAGUUCUCGAAAGCUUCCUUAUGCUUCUCAUUCCAAGUAAAAGUAGCUCCUUUGUGGGUCAAAGCUGUUAAUGGAGUCGCGAUCGAAGAAAAGCCUUGGAUAAAUCUUCGAUACUAUCUAGCUAAUCCUAAAAAGCUUCGGAUCUUCGUAGGACUUUUUCGUUGUUCCCACUUUAUCACAGCUUCAAUCUUUGUUGGGUCAACCAUUAUCCCUUCUUGGUUAACCACAUGACCCAAAAAUUGGACUUCUUGAAUCCAAAAUUCACAUUUGGAGAACUUUGCAUACAGCUUCUCCUUCUUUAAUACCUCUUACACUUCUCGCAAGUGUUUACCAUGUUCCUCCUGGAUUUUCGAGUAAAUCAGAAUGUCAUCUAUGAACACUAUCAUGGAUUUAUCUAGGAAUGGUUUACAAACCCUAUUCAUUAAAUCCAUGAAAGCUGCUGGAGCAUUGGUUAGUCCAAAAGACAUAACCAAGAACUCAUAGUGUCCAUAUCUUGUUCUGAACGCAUUCUUCUCAAUAUCCUACUCUCUUACCUUUAGUUGAUGAUAUCCUGACCUAAGAUCAAUCUUCGAGAAAUAGCUCGAACCUUGCAACUGAUCGAACAGGUCAUCAAUCCUUCGCAACAGGUACUUGUUCUUUAUUGUUGUCUUAUUCAGCUCUUUGUAAUCGAUGAACGUUCUCAUGCUCCCGUCUUUCUUCUUUACGAAUAACAACGAAGCUCCCUAGGGUGAUGAACUAGGUCGAAUAAAACCUUUGUCCAAUAAUUCCUGAAGUUGUGUCAUAAGCUCUUUCAUCUCUGUUGGUGCUAAUAGAUACUAUGCUUUUACUAUUGGCAUCGUUCCUGGUAACAAGUCGAUACAGAAUUCUACUUGUCAAUUAGGGGGUAAUCCGGGAAGAUCUUCGGGAAAAACUUCUGGAUAGUCACAUACCACCGGAAUAUUCUGCACCUCCUUCUUUUCCUUCUUAGCAUCGAUCACGAAUGCUAGAUAUGAUGUACAUCCCUUGGCCAAACACUUUCUGGAUUUCAUUAGGGAAAUGAUUCUAGAGUUUACUCUGCGUUUGUCUCCACACACCAUAAACGACUCUUUCCCCGGUGGUUUUAUUUUUACUAUCUUCUUCCUACACAAUAUUUCGGCAUCAUUGGCGCUAAGCCAAUCCAUUCCUAGAACUAUGUCGAAACCAUUUAACUCGAUAGGUAAUAAUUCCUCGUCGAACUUAUUCCCAUUCAAGUCAAUGAACAUGUUUUUCAUACGAUGGCUAACAGGUAUAAACUUGCCACUAGCAACCUCGACUAUUAAAGCAUUAACUAGUCUAUCUACAUGCAAAGCUAGUUUUUUACCAAGUUCAUGCAAAAUAAAGGAGUAAUUGGCUCCAGAAUCAAACAAAAUUUGGGCAGGCAAUUCGUUUACAAGAAAGGUACUAUAAGCGACAUCGGCUUCUUCUUUCGCAGCUUCAAGUGUCAUCUGAAAGGCUCUCUCCUUCGGCUUUGGUGGAAGAUUGGGCUUUGCUACAUCCUUCUUCUUUGGGAAAUCCUUCAGAAUGUGCCUCUCUUCAUAGCACCCAAAACAGACUUUCUUAAAAAAGGUGCAUUCGUUGGCAUAAUGUCCAGGCUUUCCACAUUUGUAAAAAGUGACUUCCUCGCUGCAUUUCCCAGCAUGUAUCUUCUUACAAUUGUCACACCACUUGGCUUCGGCUCCUCCUCCGAAUUUCCUCGAACAAGUCAUCAAGAAUUUGUUCUUUGUAUUGGAACCUGAAGUUCCUUCAAACUUUCUCUUUUUGCCAACUUCAACCUUGCUGCCAGCUCUCCCCUUAAUCAUAUCUUCAACAGACUUGGCAGCCCAGAUAUCUGCCUCCAAUGUAAGUACCUGACGUACUGGCACCGCGUACUCCAAUGGAAGUCCCUUUGCAUACCUGUCAUUUUUUUUCAGCUCAUCUGGAACAAUACGCAAAGCAAACUCCAUUUUGUCUGUGAAGCUAUUUAUGUAUUCAUCAACGGUCAUACUUCCCUUCUUCAACGUCAGAAAUUGGUUUUCUAGCUCAAGCACAUUUUGGGCCGAGCAGUACUUGCGCUUGAAGUGCACCAAGAACUUUGCCCAAGUCAGUUGCAGUGGCUCAUUAGGGCUUAGGGUUUUCCCCAGAGUGCUCCGCCAUCGAGCAGCGCUACCUCUGAACUGCCGCACUGCAAAUGUGGUUUGUAACUUGCCUUGGCAACCACAUGUCAUGAAAGCCAACUCCAUUUCCGAGAUCCAAUCCAUUACUCCAACGGGAUCUUCUUUUCCAGUGAAGGUUGAUGGCUUGCAAGUCAUAAAAUCUUUAUACUUGCACCUAUUUCUCUCCACUCUAUCUUCGUGGUUAUUUCUCCCAACCACACGUGGCUCACUAUGACCAACAGAUCUACUGUUGUUUCCUUCUCCAGAUUGAUCGUCAUUUAAUUCAGGUUGUUCAACAGGGAUUGAGGGUUCACUCCGAUUGUUCAACAAUAUUUGUCUCAUUUCCUCCCUUUGUUCAGCCAUCAUUGUCUGAAUCAUGGCUCAUAUUCCAACCAUGGUGAUGGGUUCUGGUGCAGCUCCUGCUAUAAGCACCUGUUCCAUCACUUGGGGUUGAGGUUGUUGGUUUCUAUUUGCAUUUCCAGCUCUACUUCGGGUUCUUGCCAUUAUAAUCUAAAUACCAAAUAAGGCGAAUUUAGAUCUUUAUCCUCGAUAGAUAUUUAAAUUCUCAUUAUCACUUCGAAACGUUUACAUGUUAGUUCUAAUAUCGUAAUCCUACGCUUAGAAUCCUACACACAUAAGGUUUCCAGAUCUGGUCGGCAACAGACCAUAGAUCCGAGCAAAUAAUGGCAUAUAGGGCAAACAUAUAACAUUUAGCACAUAAAAGCAUUUUAGGCAUCUUUCCUAAAAUAUUUUAGUGCUCGUGUCUAAAAUAUGGUAGACACUCAUCUCACAAUCAUCACUUAGCAUUCUAAGUUUAAGUCUAGAAAUCUUACAAAUUCUUAGUUCGCUUAAACUAAUGCUCUGAUACCAACUGUGACAUCCCCUAAUUUCUUGGCCAGAAAAGACCGAUUUAAUUUAUGCUUUUAAAAUAAACUCAGAGUAAUCCUUUUAAAAGAUGUUGCGGAAUUUGUUCCCAAAAGAAAACAUGAUAAAAAUUUAUCAAAACCUUUCUUUAAGAAAUAUUUUUUUUCAUUUUAUAUCAAAACCUCGGGAUGUCAUGUUCCGAUACAGAUCAAAAGCAUAAAAAAGACAUUAUAAGCCUUACAACAGUUAUUUACAACGACUGACCUAUAAUCCAAAAAUCUAUCAUCAUCAUUUGACUAUGCUCGGGGUCCACUACCUGUAAUAUAAAAAGGUGAGUGGGUCAGGCUUGGGAGCCUGGUGAGAAUAUAGGGUUUUCAACCUACAAUAAUACUAAAUCUAUUAGAUUCAUCAGUCAACAAUAACCCUGAUUACCCAUCCCGUUAUCCUCACUUUACAUCCCUAAAUACCUAUCACAAGGGACCUAGCCUAAGGAAUAUCAUUGGGAUGGACACUACUACUAAGGGGACUCCUUAGCCAUACAUGUCCUAAAGGAAACCAUGAGGGGGAUGGAGUACACCAAUGAACAUAUAGU
rnacentral:lncRNA from 1 species